rnacentral:misc_RNA from 1 species
AGUAAAUAUGAAGGUGGUUUUCGGGUUCUGUUAGAAUGUCUAGGUUCUGUUUGUGCAGUAGAAGAAGGAGAUACAUGUUGUGAAGGUAAUGUAGAUGACGAAGAAUUCAAUAAAGAAGAAGGAGAAAAAAGAAAAUCAUAAUCAGAAAGUGUGGUGUCUAAUGGAAGUGAAAUAGGAGAGGUAGAAAAAUGAGAAGAGGACUGUGAUUUAUAAGGAAAAAU